AAAAUUAAAAGUAUACAUAUAGUUAUCUCUUUCUA
rnacentral:tRNA from 1 species